rnacentral:lncRNA from 1 species
AUGCAUAUACAUGUGGCAGGAGAUGAAGUCCCAAAACACUCCAUUUAUUUUGGAUUGUCUUCAGGCGUUGUGUUGAAUAUCAGGAGCGAGAUAACAACAGCGAAGGUAACCGGGUCAGAGAAGUCAAACACACAGGUCGAAACAAGACCAAAGGGACCGUCGGUCAGAACAUCUCCGCCAACUGGCUACCUACACGGACUCUCUGAGGCUUGCAGGAACACGGAUCUGCAGCGAUCGUUAGAGCGGGGAAAAAAAAAAUAUUUGAAUAUUCUCAGGCGCUCCUAAACCAGCUUAAAUUGGAUCAUUUUAUUGUGCCGCUCCACCCUGCCAAAAUGCCAAGAGAGUGUGGGUCUUGGCGAAGGCCGGCACUCCUGAAUCUUCCCCGCGGCCUGCGCGCCCCCCCACCCCUCUGCACUAUCUGCUGACACAGAGUCUUGCCCCAGGCCGAAGCUCCCCGCAUGGCCAGCCUCCUGCUGGGAAAAGAUGCACUGAGCUGGAGAGAGCUGGAGGCGUCCCAGCACACAACUGGCCAGCAAGCCACUCAAUGCAUGACACCUCACAUAUGUGUGCGCCUCCCUUUUAUACAGUAUGUACGGC